AUUGAACGCUGGCGGCAUGCCUUACACAUGCAAGUCGAACGGCAGCACGGGUGCUUGCACCUGGUGGCGAGUGGCGAACGGGUGAGUAAUACAUCGGAACAUGUCCUGUAGUGGGGGAUAGCCCGGCGAAAGCCGGAUUAAUACCGCAUACGAUCCACGGAUGAAAGCGGGGACCUUCGGGCCUUGCGCUAUAGGGUUGGCCGAUGGCUGAUUAGCUAGUUGGUGGGGUAAAGGCCUACCAAGGCGACGAUCAGUAGCUGGUCUGAGAGGACGACCAGCCACACUGGGACUGAGACACGGCCCAGACUCCUACGGGAGGCAGCAGUGGGGAAUUUUGGACAAUGGGCGAAAGCCUGAUCCAGCAAUGCCGCGUGUGUGAAGAAGGCCUUCGGGUUGUAAAGCACUUUUGUCCGGAAAGAAAUCCUUGACUCUAAUACAGUCGGGGGGUGACGGUACCGGAAGAAUAAGCACCGGCUAACUACGUG
rnacentral:rRNA from 1 species